AGCCGCACCACUCCCCACCCCACCAUGCAGCCCUUGACCUCUCUCUCUCCCCGCGAGCCUUCUCCGCCGCCGCCACCCACGCCGGCGAUUCCGGCGGCUUCCAGUGAUUCCGGCAGCUGCCGACGACGCCAAGCACACUCCCAUGAUCGCCUCCGUCCGCUCCGUCUUCCCCUCCGAGCAGAUUCGUCGCUCGCGUCCUCUACCGGUCACCCGCGACCGUCCCCUAAGCUAGGGUUUCGGCCACCGCGUCGCCGGCGUGGCUCCGGCGGAACAGAUACAUCUCUCCGUUGAGAUCCCCCACAACCCACCCUUUCUUACUCACCUCGUAUCCUCUCCCUCCCAGAUCAAGCACGCCACUGUCGCCGUCGUUUCGCUCGCGCUGGAAUAGCAAAGGGAGGGCCAUGGACGACGCCGCUCCAGCCCUACUCUGACCCCAUCAAGCAGGCAUCCUCCAUGGAUGAUGACGACAACCAGGGCAUCCACCGCCACGACGACACCCCGCACAUGGUCCAACUCGGCUACAACCUCCUCUACCGCAUGACUGCGGACGCGUUCGUGUUCGGCAUCGACUACAACCUCCUCUCCGGAUCCUUGGUUCAUUAAACUGACCGCAUGCCACCUCUGUCAUCGCCGCCCCGUCUCCCGCACCAUCGGCACCGCCCCUCUGCCUUCUCCUUUGAUGCUGUAGUGGAUUCUUAAAAUGAAAAUGUUGUGUACAUCAAAAAUAUUUUAUGGUCUGUGUUUGCAAA